ACCUAUACCUUCUAUAGUAGACCUAUGAAAUAGGCUAGACCUAUUGUAUCCCUGAUCCUUUACUCUGCAUUUGCCCCAAAAUGCAAAAUGAGAGAAGUAAUGGAAGUAGGUAUGUCAUUUAGGCUAACAUAAGGCACUGUGUCCCUACUUGGCUGGGAGGGUUUCAGCACCUCUGGACCCCCACCUAACCUAACUUAGGCUACUUUAGGUUAAAUGACCGAACGGCGGACAUAGUGGCCACCUUCCAGAAAGACGCUUUAAUUAGUAUGCCAUUAUUUCGUACUCAUUUUGAAGAAAACACUUACUUCUAGAGGAACGUACAGAUCUCGGUGUGCUGCCAGGAUGGGCCACAACUCUUUACUGAUGCUUAUGGCAGCGAAUUCAAAUACUUUUUCGGGAAGGUGGCCAUAUUCCGGGAUCGGUGGCCGCUAUGUCACCGUUAGGUCAUUUUCCCUUACCAGGAUGGGUUUCUUUGCCCUUGAACCCUCCCCCUAACCUAGCCUUUGGCACUGUGAAUUUAAAUAGAUAAAAAGAUUGUAACUUCAUGUAAUCGAGCCGAGGGCACCUGGUCCUUACUGGAGUCGGGAUUGGGGGACUUUCCCCCACAACAUAACCAAGAAAUACCAUGAAAUUCCAAGUGGACAUGGAGACAGCAAGAGAAAUGUGGACCAUAGCCAAAAAAUAAAAAAGAAGUUCAAUGCUAAAAACUACCUCCACCUCAAAUUUAACAAAAUAUUAGAUUCAGACUGAGAGCCACCAUGUAACAACCAGACUCAAGCAGUGAAAAGUGUACCUCGCCCUUACUGCACUCCUGGCAAAAUAUCCCCAGCAACAAGGCUACAAGACUAAAGGUAUACCCGUAACCAAUCAACACAAAGUCCAGAGCAUAUUUUGAAACAGGAAAGUCAGUGGCUAACUUAUUCACCUGCCUUUCAGUCCUCCUCUCACCUUAUAUGGAGAUCGAUAUUUUAUCAUAUUAAAAUUAAGAGGUACUGUUUGCUCAAGAGCAAGGAAUAAAAGGUAAAAAACAAUGGCAAGGGAAUAAUUCACCACUUUUUAGAUAUAAGACUGCAUGCAAUAUUUUGUUCUACAUCUGAAAGCAAUACAUCACACGCAUUGCGAAGAUAAAUAAAAAAAGUAGAAAACAAGCUCUUCUAGUCCAACAUGGCCCAAACUGCUGAAGAUGAAGGCUGUCCCAUCCCAAAGAAAAGAAUUCGCAAUAGCUGUAUGAUUCAUUGUACUACUGAUAGGUCAGCCCUUGUAUCUCCAAAGAACAUCAGCUCAUGGCAGACUCUUCUCAAUGCAGCCAAAAUCAGGCAACAUGUUGGUAUUUUAGAGUUGGCUGAAGGUGUGAAAGAUGAUGAAAUACCUCCAGUUCUUUAUCAUAGAAAGUGCCAUAGUUACUUCACAAUGAAAAGAAGUUUAAAUUCUAUACAAUCUCAACAAAGUGAUAAUGAAAUAGAAUUAUCCUCAAAUGAUUCUCGGCGAUCCAUUCGUGGCAAACCAAGUAGUUUAAGUGUUUAUAGCAGUGAAGAAUGCAUCAUUUGUGGAAGGAGAACAAAGUACAAGAGUGGAUCAGGAACUAGAGAAAACCUGGUCCGAUGCCAGGAGUUUCGCGCAAAUGACACUCUCAGGAGGGCUGCUUUAGUAAAAAUGGAUGAAAAAAUGCUUGCAAUUCUUAGUACAGACUUAAUUGCUUCAGAAGGACAUUACAUUCAACAUGUUAUAAAGCUUAUACCUGGAAGGUGGCUAAAAGUAAUAAAAUUGUAGAAAAGUGUGAAAGCAAAGGUACUGAUAUGGAAGAGGCACACUGUGUUGAAGAAGAUGCAUAUUGUAAUGCAGAAAGGCUGGCACAUGAGGAGCUGUAUACAUAUAUUCGAAAUGAUAUAAUUCCAAAGCCACAAAUUGUAGAAAUGACAUAUCUUGUAUCACGAAUAGAAUCAUCAUUGACAUCCUUAGGCAUAGAUAGUGUGAGAAAAAGUACAAGGAAACAUCUUCGUCGUAAACUUGAAGCUGAAUUUGGUGAGAGUUUACACAUUGUGUCUAAUACUAAUGGUAGACUGCUGUUAUACCCUGACAGUAUGUCUAAAAAUGAACUUGUUAAACAUGCAUAUGGGCUUCAAGAAAAACUCAACCAGCAAAUUCAAGCAAAUCUCCAGAGACAGUUAUGAAAGCU